ensembl:processed_transcript
CAUGGAUUGGCAAUUUUUCAUCAUCUUCACAGUUUAAUUCUGUUGGCCAUUUCCCACUGAUAAGAAAACGAUGAUUAAAGACUUUAUCUGCACCAGCUGUUGUGCCGGUUUAAUGGCAGUUUCAGACCUGAUGGCGGGACAUCUGGACCCUGAUGGGGCUGUUGAUCUAUGUGUGAGGAAUUGGACUGGAAGAACUGUCUCUCUCCCACAAUCCUCGGCGUUGUUUCUCCAUAUGGUUCCCGCAGGAUCCUGACAGCCACAUUACGGAGCAUUGUACAGUAUUCCUGUAUCCAUUUCCACAUAAGAAAGAAAGUCAUACAGCUUUGGAAUGACAUGAGCAUUCUGUUUUCCUCGUCAUGUACCUGACUCGACGAAGCAGUCAAAUCUUUGUAAAUUUUUGAAGAGCGCUGAGGUCUGCUGCAGCUCAGGGGAAUAAAGCGCUGACCCAGAAUCAGUAGUGACGUCCUCAUCAUCAUCAUGAGUGCUGACAGCAGCCUGCGCUCGGCCGACAGCCACUACAACAACAACAGCAGCAGCAGUAGCAAAUGAAGGAGAACACGACCUUAAAACGACCUCUCCGAACCCCUGCUGUCCUGACCGACACUCAAAUGAGCGGUGAAUUGGGCUGAGGGGAAUCUGAGGGCAUGCAUUUUCUUCCUUUUUAAUUCUGUGAGCCUCUACACACUGGAUGGUGGAUUUGGAAUGACAGGAAAAGCCAUUUUUGUAAUUGCGAUGGAAAUUCACAUUUGCCCAACACUGCUUAAUGACAAUUAAAUCCAUUUUGAAUACUAAAUUUAGGAAAAUGCUAUAUGUUUUCCCAAGAAUAUUUAUAUAUUUGAAAAAAUUUCCCAAGUGAUGUUUAAAGAUUUUUUCAACACACAUCUAAAUAUA